AGUGAACGCUGGCGGCAGGCCUAACACAUGCAAGUCGAACGAAGUCUUCGGACUUAGUGGCGGACGGGUGAGUAACACGUGGUAACGUACCUUUUGGUUCGGAACCACUCAGGGAAACUUGAGCUCAUACCGGAUGAGCACUUAGGGGGAAAGAUUUAUCGCCGAAAGAGCGGCCCGCGUUAGAUUCGCUAGGUGGUGAGGUAAAGGCUCACCAGGGCUACGAUCUAUAGCUGGUCUGAGAGGAUGAUCAGCCACACUGGGACUGAGACACGGCCCAGACUCGUACGGGAGGCAGCAGUGGGGAAUCUUGCGGAAUGGGCGAAAGCCUGACGCAGCCAUGCCGCGUGAAUGAUGAAGGUCUUAGGAGUGUAAAAUUCUUUUACCAGGGACGAUAAUGACGGUACCAGGAGAAAAAGCCCCGGCUAACUUCGUGCCAGCCGCCGCAGUAACAC
rnacentral:rRNA from 1 species